rnacentral:lncRNA from 1 species
CUGGGGGAGCGCGGGGCCGAUGUAAUAGCGGGUGGAGCCGGCACUGCGUUGGCGAGCGGGGCGUGUGAGCGGGUCAUGCAGAUGGAUUGGAGUGGAGCAGAGGUGGUGGGGCGGGUACGAGAGGGUCCGAGGCUCUCUACUGUGGAGGCUAUGUACAUGGAGAGGCUGGGACGCUAUUGUGGGGUCGUUGAUGACAGUGAUCCCUGUGCGCUCCCCCCUUCUUGGAGGUGGUCUGCCGCUGGUUGCCUCUGGUGCUGUGAGGGUGUAGUGUGGUGCCUGCCCCCUGAGAUGGUGCCCGCCCCCUGUGGUGGACACUGGGAUGGGAAUGCUUAGUCGGAGGGCUGCCUCCUCUCUGUACAUGUGGUGUCCAAUGUAUUUCUGUGGACUUUGUAUAUAGUGUGUUGUUUUUCUGUUUGAUUGUUCUUUAUAUAUUUUUGUUUUGGGGUUGAUUUGUGUAGCAUUAGAUGUAUGUUAUGUGUUUUGUACGUUUUGUAUUUUGAUUGUUGUAUGGUUCUGGAUUUGUUUUUCAAGUUUUUAAGU